rnacentral:rRNA from 1 species
GGCCAGACUCCUACGGGAGGCAGCAGUGGGGAAUAUUGCGCAAUGGGCGAAAGCCUGACGCAGCGACGCCGCGUGAGGGAUGAAGGUCUUCGGAUCGUAAACCUCUGUCAGCAGGGAAGAACGGUCACUGUGCUAAUCAGCAGUGAAUUGACGGUACCUGCAAAGGAAGCACCGGCUAACUCCGUGCCAGCAGCCGCGGUAAUACGGAGGAUGCGAGCGUUAUCCGGAUUUAUUGGGUUUAAAGGGUGCGCAGGCGGGAGAUCAAGUCAGCGGUAAAAUGUCGGGGCUCAACCCCGGCCGGCCGUUGAAACUGGUUUUCUAGAGUUGGAGAGAAGUAUGCGGAAUUCGUGGUGUAGCGGUGAAAUGCAUAGAUAUCACGAAGAACUCCGAUUGCGAAGGCAGCAUACCGGCUCCAUACUGACGCUGAGGCACGAAAGCGUGGGGAUCGAACAGGAUUAGAUCCCCCCGUA